rnacentral:rRNA from 14 species
GCUUGCGCUCGGUGUGUAGUGUACAUACCCGAUCCCAUCCCGAGCUCGGCCGUGAAACACUCCAGCGCCUAUUGUACCGAGGCUUAAGCGGCGGGAGAGUCGGUCAGCGCCAGGG